UAAUAUUGUUUACAUGUUUGUCCACUCCAAAUCUCAUGUUGAAAAGCAAUCCCCAAUACCAGAAGUGGGACCUAGUGGGAAUUCUUUGAGUCAUGGUGGCAGCUCUCUCAUUAAAGUCUUGGUGACGAAUCAAGAGUAUUAAGGGAAAUUUGAACAAGCUGUGAGUGAUUCAGCUAUUCUCCAAAGUGGCACAGUUCUUCAGCCUUGGGACUUGAACUGGAUUCCUUGCUCCUCAUCAUGCAUGCUGAUUGCCUGUUGUGGGACCUUGUGUUCAUGACUGGCUCUUCUCCAUCUGGAAUACCAUAAUCAGAAUGGGUGCUACUCUUCCCAAGGCAAAAUCACCCUUAAAGUAUAUCCUGGAUAACUGGAUAUGACCCACAGUCUUUGAAGAAGAAGCAGCUCAUUGUUUUCUGCCAAAUAGCAUGCCCACAAUAUGAUCUGCUGAGUGGAGAAACCUGGCCUCCUGAGGGAAGUAUCAAUCAUAACACCAUUCUACAAUUACAUCUUUUCGGUAAGAGGGAAGAUAAAUGGAUUGACGUCCCCUAUGUACAAGUUUUCUUUUCUCUAAGGGAUAAUCCUCAGCUAUGUAAGCCUUGUAACCUAUGCCCUACUGGCCCCUCCUCAGGACUACCCCCAUUUCC